rnacentral:rRNA from 1 species
CCUACGGGAGGCUGCAGUGGGGAAUAUUGGGCAAUGGGCGCAAGCCUGACCCAGCAACGCCGCGUGAAGGAAGAAGGCUUUCGGGUUGUAAACUUCUUUUCUCAGGGACGAGGAGAGUGACGUUACCUUUGGAUUAGCCAACGCCUAACUACUUGCCAGCAGCCGCGGUAAUACGUAGGUGGCAAGCGUGAUCCGGAUUGAUUGGGUGUAAGGGGCGUGUAGCAGGGAGCGCAAGUCAGAUGUGAAAACUCAGGGCUCAACCCUGAAACUGCAUUUGAAACUGUGUUUCUUGAGUGCUGGAGAGGUAAUCGGAAUUCCGAGUGUAGCGGUGAAAUGCGUAGAUAUGAGGAGGAACACCAGUGGCGAAGGCGGAUUGCUGGACAGCAACUGACGUUGAGGCGCGAAAGCGUGGGGAGCAAACAGGAUUAGAUACCCCAGUAGUC